rnacentral:rRNA from 1 species
UACUACCUACGGGGCGCAGCAGUGGGGGAUAUUGCACAAUGGGGGAAACCCUGAUGCAGCGACGCCGCGUGUGGGAAGACGGUCCUCUGGAUUGUAAACCACUGUCCCCAGGGACGAAGAUGACGGUACCUGGGGAGGAAGCUCCGGCUAACUACGUGCCAGCAGCCGCGGUAAUACGUAGGGAGCGAGCGUUGUCCGGAAUUACUGGGUGUAAAGGGAGCGUAGGCGGGGAU